GAACGGCAGCAUGAGGUGUAGCAAUACACCUUGAUGGCGAGUGGCGGACGGGUGAGGAAUGCAUCGGAAUCUGCCCAGUCGUGGGGGACAACGCAGGGAAACUUGCGCUAAUACCGCAUACGACCUUCGGGUGAAAGCAGGGGAUCUUCGGACCUUGCGCGAUUGGAUGAGCCGAUGCCGGAUUAGCUAGUUGGCGGGGUAAUGGCCCACCAAGGCGACGAUCCGUAGCUGGUAUGAGAGGAUGAUCAGCCACACUGGGACUGAGACACGGCCCAGACUCCUACGGGAGGCAGCAGUGGGGAAUAUUGGACAAUGGGGGCAACCCUGAUCCAGCAAUGCCGCGUGUGUGAAGAAGGCCUUCGGGUUGUAAAGCACUUUUAUCGGGAACGAAACAUUGUCGGUUAAUACCCGGCAAGACUGACGGUACCCGAGGAAUAAGCACCGGCUAACUCCGUGCCAGCAGCCGCGGUAAU
rnacentral:rRNA from 1 species